GAUCUUUCUAUGAAAUUGUUUCAGCGUGAAACUAGGAGCAUGUGCAUAGUGAUGUGCGACGACUUUGACAAUUGGAGUCGUCGUUGCGGCUUGUGAAUUAAUUGAUCGCCGAGACUGAUCUUUCGGCUAGUACUGAACUAAUACGUUCUAUAUAUAUGUACAUGUAUGUAUUCCUAUCGCGAGCCAAAUUACCUGCACAUGCAAGUCUUGCAUACUUCAGAGAGUUCUUGUCACCUACGAAAAGCAUUAAAUUUAAGAAGAGGAGAUCAUGAAGCUAUCAUCUGCUUCUUCUUCUACACUUCCACGCACAGUUGCGAUCCUGGCCGUCAUCGUCAUAUUCUGCUCCCUGCCAUGCUCGGUGGCCAUUCAAGUUCCUACGGAUGGAAACCUAUCGGGUCCGAGUCGUCCGCCAGGAUUGUGGAACCCACCGGCGCCGCAUGGGAAGACCGCCCGCAGACUACUGCAAUCGUCCCUUGUUCAUGCAGACGGAAACCGGCGGCCAGAGGGUCCUCCACCGCCGAAUCCCGGGCCGCCGCGUGGCCAUGAUUAGAUUCGUGGCUUUGUUACUGAGGUAGUGAGGUGUUCCUUGUACACACCUCCAUCAGUCUCUUAGUUCAUGUGGACGGAAACCCUCCCUAUUAGGGUUCAUCUACGAUCUACUACAUGAAACUAGACAAAUACACGCAAUGAUAAAAUUUAUCGCCAAGGGUGCGUAUCACACCCUCGUAUUUCCCUCUCUUUAUUUCUUUUUUUGUUUUCUCAA